rnacentral:tRNA from 1 species
CAAAAAUUAACAUAAGAAAAUGUAUCUCACUUACGUUGAGGUGAUAAUUAAUUUAUUUAAUUAUUUUUGA